rnacentral:rRNA from 1 species
GAUGAACGCUGGCGGCGUGCCUAAUACAUGCAAGUCGAGCGAACAGACGAGGAGCUUGCUCCUCUGACGUUAGCGGCGGACGGGUGAGUAACACGUGGAUAACCUACCUAUAAGACUGGGAUAACUUCGGGAAACCGGAGCUAAUACCGGAUAAUAUAUUGAACCGCAUGGUUCAAUAGUGAAAGACGGUUUUGCUGUCACUUAUAGAUGGAUCCGCGCCGCAUUAGCUAGUUGGUAAGGUAACGGCUUACCAAGGCAACGAUGCGUAGCCGACCUGAGAGGGUGAUCGGCCACACUGGAAAUGAGACACGGUCCAGACUCCUACGGGAGGCAGCAGUGGGGAAUAUUCCGCAAUAGGCGCAAGCCUGACGGAGCAAAGCCGCGUGAGUGAUAAAGAUCUUCGGAUCGUAAAACUCUGUUAUUAGAGAGGAACAAAUGUGUAAGUAACUAUGCACGCCUUGACGGUACCUAAUCAGAGAGCCACGGCUCACUACGUG